AGCUACAGCUCGAAGAUGAAAAAAGAUUUUAAAGCCUCUGAUCCAGCAAGAAGAGUUUAAAGCAAUUGCUGAGUUUUAUAGUACUUGUGACGUCAGGCCCAGAUGGGAAAUUGACUGGUACUCUAGGCCAAUGAGAGGCGGCGAGAGCGGCCGCGAUUAGCAUAAUAGUAUAGAAACAAGGAAACUUUUCGGAGCUGUCAAUCAGGGCCCAAUCAGCUGACUGUCAGCUGGGACGGGCGAGCUUAACCCUUCCCGCGCCGCCACCUCCCCCAGGGAGCCACGCCGAGCGCAAAGUUUGGUGAAAGAGAGCGAAGAGUUUUCCAGAGGGGCUGCGGGAACCCGGGAGGAGAGGGAGGUCGGUUUGAUUUACUUUGGAGCUCGAAGAGGCCUGCUUUCCGGAGCCCCCGCUGACCAGACACUCACUCGGCGGGCAUUGGCCUGACUGCCCUCCCCUGCCAGCUCCCCGUCCCCAGGAUUGUGAAUUAGCCUGGCAGCCUUCCCUCCUCGCUCCACCUUCGGCACCCAGAUCGAUUCUUUUAAAGCUCAUGCAAGAAGGAAAAAGAAAAAGGAAAGAAAAGAAAAAGGAAACAACCAACAACUCUGUUUCUAAGAUUUUAAAGCGAUAGGCAAGUCGGAGAAGCCGAGAUUUACUAUUUGGGGGAAAGCAAGAGUGCGCGAGCGAAUCCAGCGUUUGGAAGACCAGCCCGCCUGCUUGGAUGUUGGGACUGUUGAUUCUUCCAAUUAAUGAAAUGCAUUUGGUGUUAAUGCUAUUUUUUUUUUUUUUUUUUUUUUACUUUGUGGGAGGGGAAAACACUAGGAGGGUGCAUUAAGAAAAAAAAAAAUUCUGAAAAGCCUGCAAAAGGAUCGAAGAGUGAAAACUAUUGUUGGAUCGAGUUGGUUUUUACCUCAACAGCGCCACCUUUCGGCAAAGGUCAGUUGAAAUUGAUCCGUGUCCAGUUUUGUUGAAGUGAAAAGAGGCUGGUUUCCCAAGGUGGGAGGAGGAAAGAGGCGCAGGAAGUUUGACUGCAGUGGGAGAACCCAACCUUGUAGGUAAGCGGCUGAGGACAGUGCAGGCAGGUGAGGAAGUUAUUUUUCCUCCAUUAUUCCCCUGGAUUGUCGACCAAGGGGACAGGGGGCACAGAAGCCUUUGGGAGUGUGAUUCUGUCUCAGAGACUUGAGCAAGUGGAUCCCACGUAACAGGGCCCCAAGCCCUUUAAAAGUGCCAGGAUGGAUUUCCAGCGGGCUUUAUGGCAAUAUCAAUAGAAUUAAAGUUACUUGUAAUUCAGUGAUAAAUGAGAUGUCUCUAGUAAGUAAGAUUAAGUGCAGCGCUAUAAAGUUGUUUAUCUGAAAAGUAAUUCUCAGAAAACCUGACUUCUGACACUUAGUCAUAUAUUAAGCCUCACGUCUUGAACAUUGCACUUCAGAAGGCUGUCACCCACCCCACAGCAUACUUUACUAUUUAUAACGAGACCUUAGGUGUCACUCACUGGCUUCAGACUCCAGAUUAGACUUGUGUUAAUUUCUCUGAUGCUGGCAGCCCUGGUUUCAGCAGACCCCAGGGUUCCUAAUGAGAGAAUCCCCCAAUACAGGUUUGUAGGCGCAUCAGAAUCCUAAAAGGCCAGUGCUGUUGGUAUUUUCCAGAAAAGCACCUUCUCUUUUCAUCAUUACUUCAGCGAAGUUGUUUAUAAGGGUAGUUUUGGUUUUAUGGGAAUACUUUGUCUAUUACCAGUUUGGAGAAGAAAGAGUGACGGUUAUGUCAAUAUUUAUGCAACCUAACAGAAUUCCUUUGCUUUCCACCUCUUCAACAGUAUUUUACCUAGUAAUGAAGUUAAGGGAUUAUAGCUUGUUUAUUCAGAGGAAAAUCUUAAACUACAUAAACGUACGAUGUCAUUUAGCAUUGUUCAUAGCAAUAGUUUUCUAGGCUUUUAAAAAAUCAUUAGCCACAAAUGUCUGAAGUUUAUAAUUAUUCACGUGAAACAUGAAUUUAAAUGUAGUUAGGAAGAAUUGAUUCUUUUUUUGCUUAUAAUAUAUUUUUUUUUAUCCUUUGGAAUCACAUUUUUGUUAAAAGCUGUAAGAAAUGAUCCUUGUCUCUCAUGAAAGUAUUUUUGGCCAGGAGCACUGAAACUUCUGCAUUCGUAAACAACAUUUAUAAACAAAAUUCGCUCAUGACGAAGACCAUGUGAUAUAGAUUCAUGGCCAUGCACCUAAUUGUUGCAAUUAUAUAUCAUUUCUAGAAAUUAAACGCUCAUGUUUGGGCAGCUAAAUGUAUUAUUAUCUGCACUUUUUUUAUGGUUUAUUUCUGUACACUGCUGUUAAGCCAUGGUAUUUUUCUUUCUCGUAUUGCAGAGUCUUUUACAGUCUCUUAUUUCCUCUCAAAAAAAAAAGAGAGGACCAGAAUUAUUUUUUAGAUGUGUAGCAGUAGUGCUCUCAGCCUUAUAACUGAAUUCUCAUUUUUGUCCUUUUUACUUUAUUAUUUAGUGAUUCCCAGGGGUGUCCAAACAUUUACAGUUCUCCGUUAGUGGCAUUUCUUUUCCAACAAUUGAGCUCUCUUAUUUUAAUUAGUACUAUUCAGGUUUUUGAUUCUGUACAAUUACAGCAGGCCACAUUUCCUUAGACUUCUUUGCUCAUAUUGUUUGUUUCACUUCUCUCCAGGCCCAUGUAAUCCAAAUACAAUACGAACCCUGUUUCUGUACUGCUUAAUAUCCCCUUGCUAUAUAUACGCUAGUAAUCUCUGUAGAACAAUAUACAGUAAUUUCGAAACCAUGCGCUUGUCAUUAUUGACCAAUUCAAAACAGUAGCAUUAAAGUUUCUGAAAGCCGUGAAUAUUUAUAGAAGAAUUUUGGGAGGGAGGAGGGCAUGAGUCGAAUCAUGUAGAAGAUUGCGAAAUCGUAACAUCCAAAACACAAUCGUAGAUUCGUGUCAGUACAUACACAACAACUUUGGACAAAAAGGAGAAAAAUCCUGUUCGUGUCCAAAUGAUAAUGAUUAAAAGUUAAAAAUAAUAUAUAUUAUAUAUUUAUAUAUAUUUUCCUGAUGAUGAGUUACAGCCACUCAGGUAUAUCAUGUUGGAAUCUGACAUAGAUAAUCUGAAAAAACCAAAAUGCACCAAGAAGUGUAGUGUCUGUUCUCCUUGUUUCUUCAGGAGCUGAUUUUAUGGUACAGAACUAACCAGAGUCCGCUCAAUUUCACUGUGAACCUAGCUAAAGUGAUUUGAGAAAAGUAACUGGAUGAUCACAUAGACUGUUCUUAGGAUGUUAGAUACAUCCUCGUAACAGUCUUUAGUUAGCAGGGUAAGUAAAUCACAAAUCACUGUGAGCAGAUUCAUGGAGGAAAAUUAAUAGAAUCAGGCGAGAUAAUCUGAUAAGGGCAAAAUUGCUGAGGAAACAGUCUUGCCUCAUAUUGGAGAAUGUGAAACAACAGCCUGAUUACUAGGAGUCGUUAUGAAUAGGUGAAUUAUGUGCUAAAUAAUCAUCGGAGUAAUUCAGCCUUUAUUAAUUCUUUUCUCUUUAAGCGACUCACAGUUGUAAGUUAAAGCCGAUCUCUCUUUGAAGACACAUCUUUUAUAAUUUUUAUUGGAGUUAGAGAACAGCUCACAUUUGAUUUCGGUGAAAAGAGGCUACAAGGGGCAGCGGAGUAAUCUUGAGAAGGAGGCAAAAUGCAAAUGAGAAAGUUCUUGGUUGCAUGAUGGGUUUUGCUGUGCUGUUCUGUUCGUUGGACUCGCAAGAUAUGCCCAGUGACACCCUCCCAGCAUCAUUCAUCACGACAGUGUUUCUGCUCGAAUAGAGAAUUGGGCAAAGCAACCCUCCUCACAAUAAAAAGUGAAAUCACAUUUAUAGACCUUUGCUGGUAUUCUUAUUUAGUUAUUUUAUAACAAUGAGACAUGCUGUCUGUUAAAUAUAAUCAUUUGCAUAAGACAGAAAUAGGAGGCUACCAAACGAAAGAACCACUAUUUCCCACUUCCCAAUCCUCUAAUCCUGGUCUCAGGUGUUACCAUCUAUAAUAAUUGGGGUCCAUGCAUAUACUUUUAUAGAAUGGAAUCAUGGUAUACACACAGCUUUUUUAAAACUUGCGUUCUCAGCAGUAACACAUCCACCUUAAUAUCCCCAAAAAGUGGUUUGGAGCACUCCUCUCUCCUUUGGCAGGACUCAUCUAAGAGAAUUUCAGAUGGGGGAGUUUAGAGAUCUUACCUUAACAGCCUCCUUCCUUCUUUACAACAUUCUGACAUGUGAGUCGACGGUAUGCAGGAUCGAUUUUACUAGGCCCAGCAGACACCGUGCGUAGGACCCAUGAGACUGUCCGGGGCCUAGGAGAACAUUUACAUUUCUUUUAAAAUCAGAGGAAAAGAAAUGAAUAUAAUGCAGCAUGUAUUAUACAUGUCAUUAUACCAACAUAGUCAUAAAAUGUAAUUAAAUGUUUAUGGAAGAAGGGGUCGACAUGAAACCAAAGUGCCUCAUAGCUACAAAAGUCCAAGUGCAGUCCCAACAACAUGCACUUGAUUGCUCCCAGUGACAGGGUGCUCACUACCUCUCAAAUUUUACCUUACACUCUGUCCAUCUAUCUUCCCACAGUUCUUGAGGUGGUCAGCCAAGCUUUACGUUCGUUUGUCUAGUAUGAAGUCAUAUCUCCUUCUUCUAUACACAAGUCCUGAUUUCAUACACUCAGAAGGCCAUGAGCCCUUAUAUCCCUCAUGCUCUCUGGGGAGUAGAAGACAACCAGUGUGAUGACACCUCCUCCCUACCUUUCGUAUUCCAUUCGAAACAUAGCCAGUGCCUUUAGCAUUUCCACAUACGCCUGAAUUUUAAGCGCCUCUGCCUCUAGGUGGCCGACUCCCAGAUGUGCCCACCUGGCAGUUGUCCCCCUUGGAGGGUUCAGGUCCCAGAACUGAACCCAGAUCCCCGGGUGUGAGCUUCUCAGCACAGCAACUGCCACCCUCCGCCCCCCGGGGCCAAGUCUGGCUGCUGUUCCUGCAGACCAUAAUUGCAGGAGCCUCGGCAGACAUCUAACACCGGUGACUCACUGUGCACGGCCCGAGGCCUUUUCUUCUCACAUUUCCCCCUCCUCUAUUUGUGUGCUUAUGUUUUUGAGCCCAAGCGCAGAAACGCACAACCAUGCCCAGUAGGCUUCAUCUCAUUAGGUUCAGCCUGGUCCCUGCUUGUGUGAAUCUCUGUGGAUCUAGAAUAUGCCAUCGACUUGUUUUAAUUUGCCUCCCAGCUUUGUGGCAGCUGCAGAUGAAAUUGAUGUGCUUUUUUAUGACUUAACCUCUCG